UGGGAACCAAAACCAUCAAGACCCUCAAAGGAAUUUCGGUAAGGGACCCAAUAACAACAACGCUAAUCCCAACAACAAUAACCGCAAUAACAACACCAAUAACCGCAGAUCUGAGCGUGUGUAUAGGUGUAGAAAGUGCCCUAACAACCAUCCUGGUAGGGACUGUGAGGGUAACAAGGUGGAAUGUCGAGAAUGCGGGAAAUUGGGGCAUAGGGCAUAUGAGUGCUACUCGAAGAACAAACUGAUCAACCCUAAUGGCCAAAAGAAUGGGAAUUAUGGGGACAACCUCGAAAUGGAAAUGGAAACGGGAAUGGAAAUGGGGGAAGUGCUUACAAUGGGAAUUCUAACUACUCCAAGCCUGUAACCAACACCAAUAAUCAGACAUCUAAUGGGAACAAUGCAACCAAUUCCCAAGAUAAGGGCAAGGGGAAGCUGUAUAUGAUGUCGACUAGAGAACAAGAGGCUCGAAGGGAUGUUGUCUCGGACUAGGUGUGCUGGUGCUGCUGCAUAAUCUCGAGCAUACGGGGACUAGGCUUGGGUAUUUACAUUUAAAGCAUUUUGAAAUAAGUAUUAUUGGUUUUUCUAAGACUCAUAUAUGGUUUGUGGUUUGAAUGAAAGGGGUCAUUGAUGAUUCCCGAGUUGUAUAUAUGUUUUAAUUCCGCUGCAUUUUAGUUUUCAAGUUAAUGUUUUAAGUUAUCGUUAACCCUUAUUAUGCCUUGCGUUCCAUCGCGGCGGUAACGCCCCCGAGGUCGACGCGACGCAGCAGUGGUAGGCGCGUGUGGAUUUUGGGGGUGUUACAGUUGGGAGUUAGGCGGUUAGUUUCCACAACUUUAGCCACUAAUACACGCGUAUCCAUUAUCCCACGCCUUAUUGGUAUGUGGGUUGUUGUGGUUCCUAAAAUCUAGGAACUACCACAACUUAUCCUCAUUAGGCGCUUGUUAGGUUUGUUUUUGACGGCUCUUCUUCAAGGACUCUAUCCAAAAAGCUGCGCACAAACUAACUUCACAGAAUAUUAUGGAAUCACAAAAUAUCACAAUUUUUUAUCCAUAAUAUAAACGGUUUGUCACAAACACAAAUAAAGUUUAACAACUUAAUUUUGAUUAAUCACCUAAUCAAUUCUCCAUAAGUUAUUUAGCAUAUUAUUUGUGAUAUCUAAAAGAUAAUAAACUAAAAAAGAAUAAAUCUAGAUUAUAAACUAAGCAAAAAAAAAACGACUAAAUCUAAUAACAUAAAAUUAAACUAAUAA